UUCUGAUUGCUGCUGAUGUUGAGUGUUACACUAAUGAGUAUUAUGCUUUUCAAUUGAAAACCUUUGUGCCACUGUGCUGCCCCCGCUUAUGUAGAUCACUGUGAUGAAUACCCAUCAUACUUUAUGAUACUUUAGCACAUUGUCACUAAAUGAAGGCUGCCAGGUCAAUUUUCAAUUUUUCCCCCUCUCCACAUGAAACAAGACAAAACCUUGGAACUCUUCACAUCUCUAAUUCAGAUUGAUUGAAUCCACUCGUGGCCACAAGGGGCCUCAUCUCACUGUAGUUCUCCAAUGUGAGUGCACAUUUCACACCGCACCGCUCCAGCUCAGUCAUCAGACCAGCUAAAAAAGGGAAGUGGCAUUGUCGCUUAGUAAGCACAUGAGUUUAUGUGCUGUCUUAUGAAAUGAGACUUUAGUACAUGACUGCGUAACAGAGCUGCGUAAACAUCGGGCUUCAUGUAUCUACUGCAGCAGGAUUACAAACCAGAGUGGAUGUGGAUUGUUUGGACAGUCUGCAGGCCUCUGUUUGGUUGUCAGAGAACCGUCAGAAAACUGUGAAACCCCCUUUUGCGCCUUCAGACCACACAGUUUAGUUUACAGAAGCCUAAUUAUACCCCACCCACUACACACACACACAAAACACACACCAAGUCUGACCUGGACCUCCAUGUCCCAUUGCACCUGUCUACAAAUACACUUUCAGAUCCACUAAAACACACUCAAAAAUAUGUUUCUUAUAUAUUUGUGUCUGAAGCUGCUCUUUUUAGAUGCUUUAGAGUUAUAUAUGUUAUAAAACUGCUCAAGUUGUCAGGUUUACAUGCAUGUACGUAUAUAUAAAGCAUCUUCAUAAAGGCAAUGUAGUGCAAAAUAUUCAGCAUGUCUAUUUUGGCUUUUUUCCCCCUGUGCAGUCGAUCAGCCAUUCACAUGCGGUGAAUUGAAGUCUAAAGAAGGCAGUGCACUUUCUUCUGCAGUUGAGGCUAUUACAGUGGUUCCAGCAGUGGGCCCUCAGACGCUGUGCCUUUGUAGCUGGGACACAGUCUGUCUAUUAUGUUGUUUCAGAGUGGAGAUGUGGGAGGUUGAUUUAUGUCUCAAACUGUCAUCGGUUUCAAUCUCCUCUCUCUCACUUUUCAUUUUCCGCAGAAAAAAAAAAUGAGGAAAAACUUCUAUUAAUGUUUCCUCUCUUUUCCAGUAUCAUGUUUGAGCAUCGUGCAAAUAAUUGUUACGUUAAAGCAGGCGGAGAGGAUUAAUGCUAUUAUUCUGUGAAGUGACAAUAACAGUAUCAUGCUCCACUUGAAUAUUUGGUUUCACCUGUUGGCAUUUCUGCUACUGUUACAUUACGGCGCCUCCACAUCUCUCCACUGAGGCAGACAGUCAGGGAGUUUUGGACCAGAGCCCAGCUGUACUGAGAGACCUGAUGAAUAUGAUACCUGUGUGGAGGAGCUCCAGCAUCUUCGCCCCCAGGUUCCCAGGAGAGAGCCAGGCAGGAAAGUAAAAAGUAAGAACCCCCCACCACACCUCCGACUACCUCACCCUCCCACCAGCGCUGCUUUUCUUAUCGUGUUCCCCUGUCUUUUGUGCUCUGCAGUUACCCUCAUACCCCCGAGGCUACUGAGCCCCCUCUUCAGCGUCAGUGAACCUGGCCCAGUCCCUUUUCUCUGCUAAAUGAGUCCUCUUUAAGAUAAUGUUUGAUGCGCUGACAGCCAGGACCAAAACAGUGUAAAAGAAACCGAGUUUGACAUCUUUUAAUUGUGCGUCAGAAAAAGCAGAGAUUGUGGUUCCUUGGACUGCUUUCAGAUCAUGCUGCUGAUAUGGUAAUUUGCUCAGUUGAAGGCUGUGGUGAAAGUGAUGGUGUUGAUGGUUUGGAAGAAGUCCCUUGAGUCCAGUCUGCUUGUUCCCCUCUCUUUAAACAUGUCAUGACUCCUCUCAUAUGCACGGUUAAAAGGCGUGUCAGUCAACAACCUUUAGUGUCAGUAAAUAUAAAAAAAAGAGGAAACAAUCAGAGAGGAUUCAGUCUUUAAUAUCUCAUGAACAGGGAAAGGUCUGCAUGAUAUGAAUGAUCAUGCUCGUGUUUUGUUAACUAAUUUCAUCGACAUUCAAUGAGGGCUUGUCAUUAUGAUUGCAAGUGUUGGUUAAGUUAUUUUAGAUAAUGAAACAGGGAGACUGGAGCAUGUUUUUAGUCUGGAUCUUUAUUCCUGUGACGUAUAAAUAGAACAGUGUACAUGAAGCAUUGGGUUUUAUAUCUUGAUUGACAGUGAAGGAACAGCAGCAUGACAAGAUUUAUUUUGGUACUAAGUGAUGGAUGUUUGUAGAAAUAGUUCUUAGACAAUGCUGCUUAUUGGAAACUUCAGUUUAUUUUGUCUUUUUUACACUCCCUCUUUCUUCCUUUCUGUUGGGCUUUUUUAAUCGCCUUGAAUAACCUUUUACUUUUGGAGGCAUCACACUUGAUCAUACUGGAACCUGCUGUUUCAUCUGGUUUCCAUUUACACCAAAAUAUGACACAACAACAUCUACCAGGAAGUUAGGCUGUUUGCUGAAAAGCUGCGGAGAGCUAAUAUCCAAAGUGUGCUUUAAAUAAAAAUGAGCCGGGUUAUUAUUAAAUGGAAGUGCAGGAAAUAUUCAUGUGUCAAUGUACUGCACAGCAUGGAUUUUUUCAUUGUGAACUUAGAAACUAACAGAAAACAUUAACAGUGGGCUUUUUGUUUUGAUCUGCACAUGAAUGGCCUCCUUGAUUUGCUGACUCUCCUUGUACUGCCUGCCCUGCCUGUGUAUUAAUCUCUUAAAUGAGCCGUGCUGUGGAGUUGGAUGAACAUGUGGUGCUUUUCUAGAUGUAGUUUUCUAAUUAAAACUGUCCCAUUAGUCUGUAAUUGGGGCUAUCUGAGGCUGGGAUGGGGCUGUCGGGGAGGGGAGCGAGAAGUCAGACUGAGAUGGUAUCGGGGUCGAGGAGACAGGAAGCCUCUGGGUAAUCUUGUCAGGUUGGAGAUUGGGGCCGCGAUCGAGCCAGCCGGACUGAACUGUACUUGGCUGAUGCUGCUGAACUGUAACUUCAGAGAAAACGUGCUGAUCUCCUCGUGUUUUUGUUUCCACAGGAGCCUGGAUUUCACCUUGAUCGUCACAUGUUGGAAGUCUUUUAAGUACCACAAAGUAGGACAAUGUAAUUAAUCACAAUUAUAUAGUUAUCACAAUUUACUCAUUCACAAUUAAAACAUGGAAAAAGUCUGAACUUAUCCCAAGAAAUACAAAGAAUGAUUUGAUGUAAAGAAUCAAUGCUGUGUCAGGGCGAGCAGGUUUGUUUUUGUGCUGGUAUCCCCUAUUCCUCAUAAAACCAGCGCACUUUGGUGUUUUCUGUUCUUAGUAUCCAGACAAAAACUCAGUGUCAGCUUUUUUUGUAAUCUCAGCUGCUGCACCCACAGUCCUCUCAGCUGAAAAUACUCCAACUUUUGAAAAACUUUAGGCCAUUUCAAGUUUGAGCCACGUCAUACAAAAAGGCAGGAUUUCUCACAUCAACUUUGUGAACAACAAUAACUGGAAAAGAACCAAGUAGAUUCAUUGGUACACCCAGUUCUGGUAAUUUUCAGCUCUAAAGCUACAACACUGUUCCUUUUAGUUGUAUUUUAGGCUUUCUUUGCAACAAGAAAAUGUCCUGAAAAAAAAGCUAAGAUAUCAAGCGAACAAAACAGUAAUCAUUGACUUGAGUCACUCACUAAGGAAGCAAACCUGCUGUAAGAGAACUUUCAUAUCUCAGAAACAGUGUUGUAUUCUUAUCAGCGCAAAUGGUUGGGGCAGUAUGCGUGGUAAUGUAGUUUGUUACCGAUAACUCUCAAUCCUGAAAGAGAAGGGCAAAGCCAUCAGUCAAAUAAAAAACAUUAUCCAGCAGAAGUGCCAACAGAGAAGGAACAUCAUCCAUUUUUAUGACAAUCUAUUGAAGCAAUACAUGCAGGGAACAAAAACGUGAUUCCUCUGACUGACUUAAAACCAGAAGCAUAAGUCAUUAAAAAGAAUUAAAUGAAUCCAAACCAAGAGUAUUCCCACCUCUUAAAGUGACAGACAUCAUGCUGGUAAAGGUUUUUUGGACCUACAACAGAAUGAGGAAUUCUCUGUAAAUGCUAACAGUACACAUGAAUCAGGGACAGCGAGAAGACUGCUGUUGAAUUACACACAUGCCAAUCACAAUACGAUAAAAUAACACUCCCAGGACCCCUGGUAGGGAAAGCUGCAGAACUCUCACAGUGUUUUUCCCGCCCAAGCGAAGCUUUCUGAGUAAACAGGAAUGCUCACACACAGACACACAGUGACAUUUGCCAGAUGCUCGGUGCUAAUUAGGGCCAAGUAUUCCCCCUCAUAGGGAGCGUGUGAGAAGCCAUAAGUACACCACCGGCUGACCUGUAGACCUGACUGGGGCGGAGCUUUGUGAUGUAGUCUGAACAUUUGAACAGAGCACACCUUGGAUUUUCUUUUAAUCAGUGCAGGGCUUCCCACUGAGCAUUCUUGGUCUGAAAGAGGUCUAAUAGAUGUCUAAAUGUAGCCUAGACGACUGAUUCUAAAAUCAGGCUACCACAGGUCUAUAAAUGAAAGUUUUUUAGACUUCUAAAUUUAGACUAAGUCUAAAUCUGGGCUAUAUCUAUACUACACUGUAUAUUGCUAAAUGCCUAUCAUAAUUAUUUUGAUUAAAUACUUGGAGAUCAGUCAUGCAACUCACAGGUGCUUUUUGAAAUGAAUAGUUAUGGGUUAAAGUGCAACGUCUACAUUAUGUCCAAAAAUAUACAGACUCUAGAUGGUUGAAAAAAAAAACUAGACGUCUAAUAGCCAUCUAUUGCUCAGUAGGUUAGUUACCUCAGUUUCCAAACAGGGAGAAGCAAAAGUCAAGUUUUCUUUCAUUGUUUAACAUUUUGAGACAUAAAUAUAUAUAUGUUAAUUUUGAACCAGAUAAACUAUUUUAAGUGUGUAUUUCUGUAAAACUGGACAGUGAAGAAUCUCCCAUAAGAUGCAGACACAAAUAUCUCUCAGCCACUCUCUAUCAUUAAAUCGUCCUAUGUAGGUGAUUCCAUAAGAACUAAGACGUUGUAGCUAAGCUAGAUAUGCUUCCUCUUAAAAUAAAAACCCAGCUCCGCAGCAGCCUACCGCCUGUCGCACGGGAGCAGGAGCAGCCAAUCAGGAGCAUGAGAUGGCACACCCAAUUUGCAUACAAGAUAGGUUAAAAAAACUCACGGCAUACACACCACACGAACACCGGGCAGCCAGACCAGAGAAAACACACAAAACAAUAUACAGUAAUUGAAUAUUACAAUCAGUAAAUCAUUCAUCACUUACCAGUGAGCCUGAGAGGUCACAAGACAUGUCCCUUUACCCUGCAUUAUCUCCCCUUUUGCACCCCCAAAAUAGAGCUAGUUCAGGAGCUAAGCAGGAAGUGAGAGCUCCAAAAGCGCCCUCCUCACCCUACUCUCCCAGGCUGCAGCAUGGCGAGGUGUCCUGGCUCCUGUCCAGGUUUAGGUGCAGUGAUGGGGAAGGUCACGGUUUGCGUCUGACCCCCGGGCCUGCAUCUUGGAUUUUGUUAUUAUUAGUGCUACGUGCCCCCAGGCGGGUGAGUGGUCUCCAUACCGGGAGGAACUGGUGAGCUCUGGAGAAGCUCUGGACCUGGAGAACAGCUGUGCAGGUUAGAGGCUGCUGGGGCCCCCACAGUCCCCGGGGAGCACCGCUGCACCGGCCCUCCAGGAGGUACAACUGUUUUUUUAUACUUUUCAGACUCCCUGCACCACUUCAUAGACAUCUGUACUGUGGGACCGAGGCAUCUAAGUAUUUACUUCAUCUAAUUUACAGGGGAUGUGGGGUUGUGCGCUAUAACACAAAGCUUACAACCCCAUGAUGAGAAAUAAGGCUUGUUAAAAUAAUGAAAACAAUCUUGGGAAUGUCUUAGGUACGGCCUAAAUGUGGUGUAGAGGCCAGCAAGUAUAGCAGUCAAUGCACUGAGCUGCCAGCAGGAGUAAACUGGCAGUUUUAGAGCAGCAAAGUAUACUGAUUUCAGGCACCAAAUUCUGUGUAGAUGUCAGCACUGACAGUGAGGUGCUGGGACAAAAUGUAACAUUAGUUUAAGGUAGCGACAUGUCACCAAUGUGUUUUUUUAUGAUUUAAAAUCAACAGAACCACCAUAGAAACCCCGAGUGUUGCUGUUUGUACUGCACCAGGGGUGUUAUUGUACCACUGUACAAACACUACUGUGGAAAUAUUGAAAGUUAAUUAAUUUAUGACCACUCUUGAUUAACAUCAGAUUUUUGCAAGAUUGCUUUGAGUGCUUUGUUAGCUAACUUUUAACCCCCAAAUCAUGUCUUUAUAUACCUCAGAGGUUUUCAUUUAUCAUCCAUCCAAACCUGCUUGAUGACCUGUGCUGAAAAUGUUAAGCUUCCCAAAGGGAUAUCUGAGUUUAUUUUUAAGUUGUCACAGGUGCCUGUUAGUAUCUGAGCCGUCUGGAAUCAUCAAAAGUAUUUAUGAAUGUAUCUCUGUGUUUUAAAAACACCGUAUAACGUCUCUGCCUUUGCCAUUAGUUGCUUUGUGAAUGAACUGCAGCCAGAGGAGGCAAAGGGUAUUCAAAAGCCCACCUUACCUCUCUCUACCAUUUUAAUUCUGCCUAUUCUUGGCAGUUCUGGAGGGGAGGGGGGCUUUUAACUGUGUAAAUAGCUCUGGAAAUUGCGUGUGGCCUUUGACUGUCUCUGUAAUUGCGAGACUCUUGCAGUAUUUUGCUUGGCAGUCUGAGAGGUUAACCCCUGAGGGCUUGGGGCCUGGAGCUCUUCGUCUGACUGGCAGAGGGCUCCUCAAAGCUCCACUUGUUCACCUCCCAGCCUGGGCAGCUCUAAGCUGCCGCUGAUCCUCUUCUGGACAAGAGAGAGAGAGAGAGAGGGAGGCUAGUGCAUUCAUCAGUGGCUGAGAUGCUGCAGGGCAAAGCUUGAAGUGUUACAGGGCCAAUAAGAUACACCGAGUUCUGCUUGGUAGCACCUGGGCAGUCAGUAGCGCUCCUAGCUUUGUCACCUCUAACAGAGAGCACCAGAAAGACACUCAGAUUUAGCUGCAAUCAGAUUAUACUCAUGUUGCUGCAGUAUGUGGUCAAUCACUUCUCCAACAUUUUUUACUGUAUUCACAGGAAAGAUUUGAUAGCCUCUGUUCCUGAAAGGAGCGCUGUGCACAUGGAUGUUUAGAGUUUGUUCGAUCAAAAUGCUUUUUACGCUGUUCACCCUUUCCCUCUGAAUGUUAGCUAAUUUCAGUGUCAUUAAUCAGCAACCAAGAAAAAAAGGAAAUAUAGUAGCCAUACGUAAGAUUAAAACAACUUUUUCAUUAUAAUUCAUUUGAUAAGGUUUAGCAUUCAACACUGCAUCAUAGUGUUAUACAAUACAACAGCAAUAACUUGGAGUUUAUGCCUAGCUAGUUUGCACCAAUUCCUGGCCCAAAGUAAGACUUGCUGGCUGACAGUAAUGUGCUGAGAAUGCUGAUUAUGAACAGAUUUUCAAUAAUUAGUGCAGUACAUCAUUUCACCAGUCUUGGACUAUCAAUCCUACACCCUUUAAAUUGUACAAAUUACACUUGGCAGCUCUGAAAACAAAGAGAAAUACAGACAAGAAAAAGAGCAAUAAUCAAAAAUGUCACGAAAUUGUCUUCAUCCUCGAAAUUAAACCUGUUUUACAUCAUCUUCUAUUGUUUUAAAUCUUCUCUAUCUCAGAAGCAUUCAGGGUUGAAUGUGGGACUUGGUACUUUCUAACCUGUUUCUCGUGAUGGAUUUUGUUGCUGUUUGAAAUGGUCUGUUAAGAUGCAGCCUCGUGUUGAGUCACAGCAGAAAACUGCAGAGAAAAGACAACAUUCGCAGUUUCCUUCUUGGAUUCCCACAUUGUUCGUGCCAGCUCUGCUCCCCCUCGGCCUCCAGAGCGACUCGCUAUGCCCCAGACAAAAGUACACAGGCAGAAAAGAAAUAUCAAGGCACAAAAGCUCUUUAUGUAAUGCUGUCAAGCUGCAUUGAUUUUUUUUCCACAGUAUAUUUGACAGACAACAUAAAAUCGUUGCUUCAUGUCAUGUCAGGCUAGGCCGGGGAGAUUGCAUCGCCUCUGCCAGUAUCACUCAGUUCUUUAGUAGAAAUGUUUCUUGGACGAGGUAUUGUGCAGAGAAGUUGACUGAGUAAUUCAUUUGUGCGGCUCUGAACCACAGCCUGCUCUGAACAUGUUUGUUGCCUUAACACAGCAGAAAGUAUGCGACACUCAACCUCAAAUCUAAGUAAGUUUUGUGACCAAACUUUGUCCCCUGACCAGAAGGCAGCUUAGAGUGCAGUAUCUGUGAGGCCUGUGUCUGACAGUGGAUAGAUGGAUUCAAGGACUGCUGAAAGAACGUGGUGCUGGUUUGUCUCUGGAUUUUAGUGAAGGAUCAGCAGCUGUGCAAUCAGACCCGACUCUGACCCAACCUGUCCGGACGUUCCUCUACACCCUUCAUCAUGUUCAUGUGUCACGCACACGCUGAUGAACCGCUGGUCGCGUGCAACCUUGGAGCUCGCCUGACCUGCAGUCUGAUUUAGUGAGGACAUGCCACAACUGAAGGUACAUUCAGGGGAUAUAGUACUUUAUUGUUUGGCUUUUUCCAUCCAUCAGGGCUUUAUUUAAACAACUACUGACUUAUUGUUCACCUGUGGCCACUGUGUAUUAAACAGACAGAAUCAAAAGGCAUAAUUAAAACACAGUUUAGAACUGCUUCAAGGUCGUUUAAUUGAGUAUUUAUAUACAAUGCCGGCUUUUAGUUCCACUCCUUUACAUUUUACAGUGAAAAAAGCUGAGCCCCUCAUUCCUCUGCACUUAGAUAUCCGGCAGCAGGUUCUUUGUUCCUCCUAAAACAUGUUGUAAAAAUGAAACAUAAUGCUUAUUGAUAGAAUUAAAAUCAUUGCUGUAGCCUAAAUCCUGUACAAUACUGAAAUUGUCUAUUUAGCAGACCAGUCUAAACAUGUCCAAGUUAAAAAGAAAAGAAGGAAACACAAGGGUAAAUGUUGUAUAGUGCGUCUAUAGUCAUAAGCUAGUUUAGCACACUUAUUUAUUUUGCUUUCUGAUCGGCUAUUUCUUUUCAACACAGAACAGUUUCUCAUCUUUUUUUUUUUUUGCUCCAUUUUUAGAUCAAAUUUAACAUGUGGGUUUCGGAUCACUCUUAAGUUGUACAAGAGUCAAGAAGGAAACAAAGAGAGAGGCUUAAGUCUUUGACAAAUAUGUAAUGCAGCACUUUCACUCUUAACUCUUUGACACAUCUUGUCUACUUUUCAAGGCAAAGGAUCCAAGCACUUAUCCAGCCCAGCCAUCUGAUAGAAAACCACGUUAUCUGAUGACAUUGUGAAGCCGAUGUGGUGACUGACUGAGCAGAAUGUGGCACAAUAGAAGAGGGAGCCAGUGUUAGACAUGUGGAUGCUCUGCGGUCGCUGUUGAGAACACUAAGCUCUGUAUUUGCACUCCUCUUGCUGUGGCUAACAGCCUCUCCAGCCCAGGUUAGGAGUGGGGCUCCCUGCAGCUGCUGUCUCCGAGGCUGAUUAGCGUGGUGAUGAGCGAAUGAGGGCCGGGGGGGACAGCGCACACACACUCUGAAAGGGUUAAGCAGCCGGUUAGGGAGGAGACCUGCUCUGUGUCCAGGAUGUUGAGUGCUGCGGUGCGAUGGUGUGCUGUUACACUGCAUGAGGCCUCGGCUCCACUUGGGUUCUGAUUGGGCCUGUAAGAUCACAGCAACCUCCCCUCCUCCCUCUCUCUCUCUGCCAGCCCCCCUCCUCCCUGAGGGUUUCUCUCUCCACAUCCUCCCUGCUGAUUAUCACCACUGCCAGAGCUGACUCUUGCACUCCAGCUGCUGUCCACACUCUAGCUCUGGGGCUAAUUUAACCAGGCUGCAUGGAGGUAGAAAACUUUCUCACAGCCACUACACAGCGAAGCUCCUCUCAGGCUUUAGCUGGUUGCUCUCUGCAGAAACUUCCAUCAAGCUGCUGCUGCUCGAUAUAUAAAAAAAACUGCUGUUGUAAUGUGACAUGCCUUCCUAUCAAGGCCCCCCUUUCCCUUGCAGCGCAUUUAAACAAUAUCCAGAGCUACAAAUGAUCUGAACAAGGUCAGAGUCCUCUUUACUUGGAGGUAGUUCAUCAGCAUAAAGCAGACAGCUGAGGUUUCCCUGCAGUUCAACAUGUGUUUCUCUCUGCAGGUGUUUCCUCUGAGCAAAGUCAGGGCAGGGUGCUGCCUACACUGUCCAAAAGGUGACUCUCAACAGUCCUCUCUAAUAUGAGACUUAGCCUUUAAGCUCCUAAUAUAAAACAUGCGCACAAGAUCUCACACUGGCUACUGUAUAUCAAAGCAUUGUGUGUUUCUUUUUCAAUACAACCCUGAAUAACAAAAGGUUGGAAAAUCAAUGCCUCGUGGACUUCUUUUUCUAAGCUGGCUGAGGCUUGAAAAGCGAGUUUGAGUUGCUAUUUUUGCAUUAGGGUAUUUCAAGUUAUUGUUAUUUGAUACAAGCAAAAGGCUGAAUAAUUCACACAAGCAUUGUCAUAAGACAGAGCCGUGAAAAACACCUAUUUGACUUUGCAGGGCUGCAAGGGAGAAAAACAUAGUGAUUGACCUGUCAAACAAGUGGCUUUAGAGCAGGACAAAAGAGGUGAAUCUCAGAGAGAGACAGGAAUCACAAUGAAGCGUUGCCUUAAGAAUUCAGUCUAAAUUUAAAAUGCGAGGGAUAAAACCUGACUCAUUUAAUUCAAAAACUAAAUAUCUAAAAAAGAGAUUUCACUCUGAAAAUGCUGUUUAUAUCAUUUCUAUUCUGGUUUUAAUACUUGUAUAACUCCAUGUGAUGUUAAUAAACUGUACGCACACUACAAACAUUAGUGCUAUUCUCCACUGGGGCAAAUAUCCUUAUCCUGGACACAUGCCAGUACCCUUGGGAGUAAAGCCCUGCCUUACUCAUGGGCCCGUGCCAGAACAGAAUUAUGUGAGUGAUGAUGGGGAGAGUCCUCUGUCAGCCCGUGGGGCUCCAGUGUCUCUCUGCAGGGCCGUCCUGGGUCUCACAAUUGGACGGAAAGGGCAAGACGCUGCUGCACAAUCUCUGUAUAUCCCCCACCGUGUUAAAUGGGGGCAUUGUGACUGCAGACCUGCUCUCAUCUUCAUGUACUUUUUUCCUCCUCCUCCUCCCUGUACAUAAUGAUUCCAGACUAUGUGACGACAGGCAUUGUAUCCAACCACAUAGAAAUUAAAGAUGUAGAUCUGAGUCAGAGGCAGCUGCUGGACUCUCUGUGCGUUGUUAUGGCAUCCCAUCUAGCUAUGCCGUAGGUGUGUGAGAUAAAAAUUUGCGGAUAUGUGCAUAAUGAAUAUGAAAUCACUCUUACAAAUCCGAAUCUGUGUGUGGUCUCUCAAACAUCAAACCAGGUGGGAACAAUUGAUUAAAUCAAAUUUCUGCCCAGGGCAAGAAUUCAAUUAUGGUAUUAGAGCUGUAAUCUAAUGCAUUUGUUCCUUCACAUGCAGAACAGUGUUACAUAAUUGUGGUUAUGAUAUAUCUAUUAUACCAAUGACUAUAAUUUAAGUUAGUCAUGUAAUUUUAGACAUUUAAGGAGGCGAUGCAGAGUGAAAGAUUUGUAAUAUCAGCGCUGUAAUAAGAUCAGUGGAUGUGCAUUUUCUGAGCAGGUGGUUACACAUUAAAUAAGAGACGACACAGAAACCAACCUGCAUCAUUUAUUAAGACUGAACUAGAUAACACAUAAUACUUUGAAAGUUUCUUCUCCUCCGCAGAAAUUUCCCUCCAUCAGUGAACAAUGCAGCCACACCAGACCUGUCAGGUAUUUAAUCUCCUGUAACCGUUUUAUCCGGGGAAUCCCCCCC